GCCGGGCAUGGUGGUGCUCACCUGUAGCCCCAGCCACUCAGGGUCUGAGGCCAAAGGACGCCUUGAGUCCAGGAGUUCUGGGCCUUAGUGCCCUAUGCCAAUCAGGGGUCUGCACUAAGUUUGGCAUCAAUAUGGUGACCUCUCGGAAGUAAGGGACCACUAGGUUGCCUAAGAAGGGGUGAAUCAGCCACGGCCAGAAAUGUAGCAGGCCAGAACUUCCAUGCUGAUCAGUAGUGGGAUCAUGCCUGAAAAUAGCCACCACACUCCAGCCUGGGUAACAUAGUGAGACCCCGUCUCUA
ensembl:misc_RNA Metazoa_SRP Metazoan signal recognition particle RNA